GCACGACUGAUACUAACAAUAAUUCGUUUAUAUAUUAUAAAAUGAGACAGAGACUGUCAAAGAGCAAACCUCUUUUGAACACUAAUAUACAAUGAGACGAUUUAACUAUAAUCCCAAUUAUAAUCAUCUCACAAGCAAAGGACAAAGGAACAUUACAAAAAGACACAAGCAAAAACAAAAACACUGAAAAAAAAAGGUGAAGGAAAAUGCGGUUGAUUGGAUAGAUCUCAAGGUUCUCGGGAUUCCAGCACCUUCAUUAAAGAAAUAGCACAUGAAUCCAAUUCUUCCUCUUCCGCUGCUGCCGUCGCCUUCACGAGUCUACCGUUGCAUUAUGCAUAGAGCCUCCCCAUUCCCAUUCCCAUUCCCCGGCCUUCCCCUUGGAUAUAGGGAUCCUUCCUUUGACUUCCAACCCCUUCCCCCAUUACUUUAUUUC
rnacentral:lncRNA from 1 species